GUUUUCUAGGACAGGGAUAGGUGCUGGCAUCCUGCUAUUAGGAACCAGAGGCCCUCAGAUUCUGCCACUGACCAGGUGACCAGGGUUAGGCAGCUCAGUUUUUCUCUCUAGGCCACAGGCACUUACCUGGCUGCCACCUGCUGUAGAUUAGCCACUUGUUCCAUGCAUUGAUAUCAAGUGUGCCAAGUGCCUGCUUUGUGACAACUCCUCCAGCUGUGCGAUAUGGCACUAAGCAGGACAGCAGUGGAUCUGAGACAACAGAUGGUCUUAGAUACAGAUUUAACCCUUGAAGAGUUCUGGAAGGAAAAUUACAACAUCCUUUCCUGUAUGAGGUUAAUUGAGAAAUCCUAGGCCAAUGUCUAAGGACCCUGAGAUCUGCCUGUAUACAGGAGAGAGACCCCGAAGGCUGUGUAGAGGAGCCUGAGCCUUUAGUUGACCAACUUGAGUUACAACCAGCCCUUGAAAACAAAUUGAAUUCGUAAGUCAAAAGUCCACUGUAAUUCCUAAGUAUUUCUUUUUCUUGAUGCUAUUGUGAAAGGUAUUUUUUUCCCUAACUUCUCUCUGUUAUUGGUGAACAGGAAAGCUACUGCUUUUUGAGUGCUGACUUGAGAGUGACUUUGAGAAGAUGGUAUUUAUUGAAAAGCUUCCACCUGCAUGCUGAGAAGGUGCCAGACCUGCUAGUCAUGGAAGAGCUUUCAAGGAAGAGUUAUG
rnacentral:lncRNA from 1 species